UACGUAGGGGGCAAGCGUUGUCCGGAUUUAUUGGGCGUAAAGAGCGUGUAGGCGGCUAAAUAGGUCCGUUGUGAAAACUCGAGGCUCAACCUCGAGAUGCCGAUGGAAACCAUUUGGCUAGAGUCCGGAAGAGGAGAGUGGAAUUCCCGGUGUAGCGGUGAAAUGCGCAGAUAUCAGGAGGAACACCCGUGGCGAAAGCGGCUCUCUGGGACGGUACUGACGCUGAGACGCGAAAGCGUGGGGAGCAAACAGG
rnacentral:rRNA from 1 species